GGGUUCACACAAGCGGUGGAGGAUGUGGCUUAAUUCGAGGCUACGCGAAGAACCUUAUCCUAGAUUUGACAUGCUUGAGAAUCCCUAUGAAAAUAGAGAGUGCCCUUCGGGGAGCUCUUGCACAGGUGCUGCAUGGCUGUCGUCAGCUCGUGUCGUGAGAUGUCGGGUUAAGUCCCUUAACGAGCGAAACCCUUAUCUCUAGUUGCCAGCGGGUAAUGCCGGGGACUCUAACGGGACUGCCGGUGCAAACCGCGAGGAAGGUGGGGGAUGACGUCAAAUCAUCACGGCCCUUACGUCCUGGGCUACACACGUGCUACAAUGGCCGGUACAGAGGGCAGCCACACCGCGAGGGGGAGCG
rnacentral:rRNA from 1 species